rnacentral:tRNA from 1 species
GAGGAUGGAGCUGAAGGUUAAGAGCACUGUCUGCUCUUACAGUGGACCUAGGUUCAAUUCCCAGCAUCCACA